CGGGAAUUGUCAACUUAAAGAGAAAAAAGUGCAAAUGCCCGGGGGGGGGGGAUGGGCAAUGCUAGAAUUGACUGAUGCAUUAGAAUUAGUAUUUUUGUUCACGUGUGGGACGCGCGAGUCCAAACUUUAAACACUUCGGAAAGUUCCGGAUUAUACCGGUGGUUGUUUUUUCGAGAAGAGAACUUAAAAACAUGUGGCUGUAAAACUGUGAAAUUGGUGAUUUUGUAAUAGAUAUUAUACUGUGAUUUGUUGUGAUUUAUUUUGGGCGAUACUUGGAGGCAAUCCCCAACACUGUUCCGGCCAGGGUGCAUUCCAUGUAAACUCUACGCCGGAGAUACGCCAACAUAUACGAUCCUUUACGCCAAUACAUCGGAGAUUUUCAGUUUUGGGG